rnacentral:rRNA from 1 species
GUUUGAUCCUGGCUCAGAGCGAACGUUAGCGGCAGGCUUAACACAUGCAAGUCGAGCGACAAAAGGGGCUUCGGCCCUGAGUAGAGCGGCGGACGGGUGCGUAACACGUGGAUAAUCUGCCUCGUGGCGGGGGAUAACAGUCCGAAAGGACUGCUAAUACCGCAUGUCAGGUCGGAAACCCCGGUUUCUGACGAAAAAGAGGGCGCCCGCAAGGGGCUCUCACCACGAGAUGAGUCCGCGGCCCAUCAGCUAGUUGGCGGUGUAAUAGACCACCAAGGCUAAGACGGGUAGCUGGUCUGAGAGGAUGACCAGCCACACUGGGACUGAGACACGGCCCAGACUCCUACGGGAGGCAGCAGUGGGGAAUAUUGGACAAUGGGCGAAAGCCUGAUCCAGCCAUGCCGCGUGAGUGAUGAAGGUCUUCGGAUCGUAAAGCUCUGUGGAAGGGACGAAAAAGCCUAACCUAAUACGUUAGGUCUUGACGGUACCUUCUUAGCAAGCACCGGCUAACU